rnacentral:rRNA from 1 species
AAUAGAUACCCAGGUAGUCCACGCCGUAAACGAUGAAUACUAGGUGUAGGGGUUGUCAUGACCUCUGUGCCGCCGCUAACGCAUUAAGUAUUCCGCCUGGGGAGUACGGUCGCAAGAUUAAAACUCAAAGGAAUUGACGGGGGCCCGCACAAGCAGCGGAGCAUGUGGUUUAAUUCGAAGCAACGCGAAGAACCUUACCUAGACUUGACAUCUCCUGAAUUACCCUUAAUCGGGGAAGCCCUUCGGGGCAGGAAGACAGGUGGUGCAUGGUUGUCGUCAGCUCGUGUCGUGAGAUGUUGGGUUAAGUCCCGCAACGAGCGCAACCCUUAUUGUUAGUUGCUACCAUUUAGUUGAGCACUCUAGCGAGACUGCCGUGGUUAACGCGGAGGAAGGUGGGGAUGACGUCAAAUCAUCAUGCCCCUUAUGUCUAGGGCUACACACGUGCUACAAUGGCUGGUACAGAGAGAUGCUAAACCGCGAGGUGGAGCCAAACUUCAAAAACCAGUCUCAGUUCGGAUUGUAGGCUGAAACUCGCCUA